CAGAAGCCGCACUUUAAAAAGAUAAAAAAGAAAUUUAAAAGCAGUGAAAACAAUCCGUGGCUUUUAUUGCUCUUGCGUCCAAGCGACGCAGACUCUCUCCGUGCCGUCCGUGGGCCCCCUUAGUUCAUCUUCACAGCAAGCCUACAAGUUAGGCACUGUUACUGGUCCCAUUAUACAGAUGAGAAAAUCGAGUCAGCGAGCGGGAGGAAGUUCCCUUGCUCUUUUCCCGCCUGUCCAGGGCCUUGGGAGACACCCUGCCAUCAUGCAUAUGGAUCUCUCUGUGUAUCUCAUUCCAUCCCCACCAUCAUCAGGCCCAUCCCUACUUUACAGAAGGGACAGGUCCUUUCGCCCCUGAGCAGCAAGUGCAGGAUAGAAUCCCGGCUCUCAGCUCCUCCGGCUGGGGCUCUCUCCGCCAUCUGAACCGUACCCCCUUCCCUUCGGGGACAGCUCUCUGUCACAGCAGGAGGCAAACACAUGCGGAGGGAGUGACGGAGUAGGGAAACCACCACCCCUGGGUGAAGGUUUGCUGAGGGGGAGCAGGACAGUCGCAUACCGGAGUCUCCAAGCGUCUCCCCAUCAAGGACUGCCCAUGUCCCAAGAGAAACAGUAACUUAGCAGCAGACGGGGCUCUUCCUGCCGGGGAUGGGCUGAAUGGUGCCCCCCAUUCGUAUGCAGGAGCCUGAACCCCCAUCACCGCUGAAUGUGGCUGUAUCUGGAGGCAGGUCCUUUAAGGGGUGAUUGAGUUAUGGUGAGCCUGUGAGGAUGGGCUCUAAUCCAAGCUGAGUGGUGUCCGUACAAGAAGAGAAAACACGGACCCACAGAGCCACGGGAGAUGUGUGCACACAGAGGAAAGACCACGUGAGGACACAGGGAGAAGGUGGCCAUCUCAAGCCAAGGAGAGCAGCCUCAGAAG